rnacentral:misc_RNA from 1 species
GAAAUGCGAUAAGUAGUGUGAAUUGCAGAAUUCAGUGAAUCAUCGAAUCUUUGAACGCACAUUGCGCCCCUCGGUAUUCCGUGGGGCAUGCCUGUUCGAGCGUCAUCUACACCCUCAAGCUCUGCUUGGUGUUGGGCGUCUGUCCCGCCUCCGCGCGUGGACUCGCCCCAAAUUCAUUGGCAGCGGUCCUUGCCUCCUCUCGCGCAGCACAUUGCGCUUCUCGAGGGGCUACGACUCGCGUCCAACAAGCACAUUUACCGUCUUUGACCUCGGAUCAGGUAGGGAUACCCGCUGAACUUAAGC